rnacentral:rRNA from 1 species
GACGAGGGAUCCUAGCGUUGCUCGGAAUCAUUGGGCGUAAAGCGGGUGUAGGUGGCUUGGUAAGUCGGGUGUGAAAGCCCAGGGCCCAACCCUGGAAGUGCAUUCGAUACUGCUAAGCUUGAGUGCUAGAGAGGUUAAUAGAAUACCUGGUGUAGUGGUGAAAUACGUAGAUAUCAGGUGGAACACCGGAGGCGAAGUCGGUUAACUGGCUAGACACUGACACUGAGACCCGAAAGUGCGGGGAUCAAACAGG